rnacentral:rRNA from 1 species
GAUGAACGCUGGCUACAGGCUUAACACAUGCAAGUCGAGGGGAAACGACAUCGAAAGCUUGCUUUUGAUGGGCGUCGACCGGCGCACGGGUGAGUAACGCGUAUCCAACCUGCCCAUCACUUGGGAAUAACCUUGCGAAAGUAAGACUAAUACCCAAUGACAUCCCACGAAGACAUCUGAAUGGGAUUAAAGAUUUAUCGGUGAUGGAUGGGGAUGCGUCUGAUUAGCUUGUUGGCGGGGUAACGGCCCACCAAGGCAACGAUCAGUAGGGGUUCUGAGAGGAAGGUCCCCCACAUUGGAACUGAGACACGGUCCAAACUCCUACGGGAGGCAGCAGUGAGGAAUAUUGGUCAAUGGGCGAGAGCCUGAACCAGCCAAGUAGCGUGCAGGAUGACGGCCCUAUGGGUUGUAAACUGCUUUUAUAAGGGAAUAAAGUGGAUCUCGUGAGACUUUUUGCAUGUACCUUAUGAAUAAGGACCGGCUAAUUCCGUG